rfam:Heligmosomoides polygyrus genome assembly, scaffold: HPBE_scaffold0000095
GCGCCGGUUGUGUAAUGGCGUAGAGCAUUCCCGCCCGGUUAGAGGGCGGUGCGGGUUCGAAUCCCGCCUGGUGCC